rnacentral:ncRNA from 1 species
ACUCAUUGCUAGUUGUUGGUGCUCAUACUUUUUCAUUGUAUCAUCCAUGCUAGUUUACUUUCCUUUUUAUGCUUUCUUCUUGCGUGUUUAAUAAACCUUAAGAAAAACCAAAAAAAUUUAGUUGUAUGGUGGCCGUAACUAUAACGGUCCUAAGGUAGCGAAAUUCCUUGUCGGGUAAGUUCCGACCCGCACGAAA